rnacentral:rRNA from 1 species
GCUCGUCGUAUCCUGGGGCUGUACAAGGUCCCAAGGGUUGGUCUGUUCGCCCAUUAAAACGGCACGUGAGCUGGGUUCAGAACGUCGUGAGACAGUUCGGUCCCUAUCUGAUGUGGGCGCAGGAGAUUUGAGGGAAGCUGUCCUUAGUACGAGAGGACCGGGAUGGCGGGACCUCCAGUAUUCCAGUUGUUCUGCCAAGGGCAACGCUGGUUAGCUGUGUCCCGAAGGGAUAACCGCUGAAAGCAUCUAAGUGGGAAGCCCCUCCCAAGAUAAGAUCUCCCGGGCCGUAAGGCUCCUAAAGGUCACUUGGAGACUACAAGUUUGAUAGGCCGGGUGUGUAAGCGCCGCAAGGCGUUAAGCUAACCGGUACUAAUCGACCGUGAGGCUUGACCAAUUU